rnacentral:rRNA from 1 species
CCUACGGGAGGCAGCAGUGGGGAAUAUUGCACAAUGGGGGAAACCCUGAUGCAGCGACGCCGCGUGAGUGAAGAAGUAUUUCGGUACGUAAAGCUCUAUCAGCAGGGAAGAAAAUGACGGUACCUGACUAAGAAGCCCCGGCGAACUACGUGCCAGCAGCCGCGGUAAUACGUAGGGGGCAAGCGUUAUCCGGAUUUACUGGGUGUAAAGGGAGCGUAGACGGCAGCGCAAGUCUGGAGUGAAAUCCCAUGGCUUAACCAUGGAACUGCUUUGGAAACUGUGCAGCUAGAGUGCAGGAGAGGUGAGCAGAAUUCCUAGUGUAGCGGUGAAAUGCGUAGAGAUUAGGAGGAACACCAGUGGCGAAGGCGGCUUACUGGACUGUAACUGACGUUGAGGCUCGAAAGCGUGGGGAGCAAACAGGAUUAGAUACCCGAGUAGUC